GGCCGGUGACCCAUAUUUGACAUUCAUCUUUGGUAAAGGGAGUCAGUGCACCAGCUCCUGCCUGCUCAGGUAAACCACAGGGCUUUGUUAGAUAAUCCAGUCGGGCUGUUCUCUUUUCUAGUAUCUCUAGACCCCUCAAAGGUGAGGAGGGACCUAGAGGGAAGGGAGGCCAGGCCAAAGGGAAAUCCUUGGUGUCACUGCCAGUCUCCCCACUCUUCAUAGGCAGCCCAGAUAAUGUCAUCGUCUGACUCUGUCUUGGUCCUGUUGGUAAUGCUCUAGCUCACUAAAGCCAAGAUUUCAGAACGAAUGUUCCUAGACACUAAAAAUCCAUCUGCAAAACGGUUCCUGUUGUGCCUGAGGGAGCCUUAUGCUUCUAUCCAUCUGGUCGUGGCUGCAUUAGGCCUGUACGCAUCCAGGGCUGCUACAUUUUUGCCCCAGCUUUAGCAUGAACCUGUUCACAGCACAGGCCACGGGCACAUCAGGGGCUGGCCCUCCCCCUGGCCAAGAGCCCCUUGAAUGACUCAGGUGGCUCCCUUCCGUCUCACUCCGAGACUGGUUUUCUAGAAUCCAGGUAUCCAUCCCCAUCCUAAAACUCCUCUCCCACAGCCUUUUGGGAAACAGUCUGCCACACGCAUCACAGGUCUUAAGCUUAUGUUCACACCCUUCAAUUCUAAUUCCAGUCCUUAGGAUUCAUGUCAAGGUUCCGAUCUAAAAUUUAGAGAAGUCAUUGUUUCUGAUCAUAAACGAUGGGGAACAGCCUGAAUGUCCAGCACACAGGGACUGAUGAACUGGCAUACUUUUUAGUGCAGCCACUAAAAAGUCAUGUUGUCAAAGUUUAUGACAACCUAGAGAAAUGCUUGUUUAAUGGUAUGCUGUAAAAAGCCAGAUGUAAAAAACCUCUUAUGCAUCUAAGAGUUUAGAUAUGUGAAAAAUGAGAUACCAAGUGACUAAUUUAACUCUCAUCACAUUGAAGAUCAUCAAGGGAGAGUUCUAAUUAUAAGAUUCAUUUUUGCCUGAAAUUUCCCCUUUUCGUGCACAACUAGACCCUUCCUCCCUUCCUAGCUCCAACAGUGAGGCCUCUGCCCUACCCGCAUCAUGUCCCUCAGUUGAUGUUCUGGAUGUUCCAGUACAUACUACUCGCAGUUCCCUGGAUGUAGCACAUUCUGUACAAAUCCCGUUCUUUCUGCCAAUGUUGUUCCCUGCCUUAUCUUAGCUGGAAAAAUUCUGUGCCUCUUUCAGAGGCCCAGCUCAAACGUCACCAUCUCUACACAGCCAUUCAUCCGUGGGCUUUCUUACUGUCCCUCCGGGCAUGUCGAGCUUCUUGUACUUAUCCUUGGUGAACAUUUCUCUCUCACCACGUAGUUUGUUCUGAAGGUGCUGGUUUCACCUGCCAGGCUGUGAGUGCUCAGCCCAGAGCCAGAGAUGAGAAGUCGUGUGGCAGAAGUUCCCUGGUCACCUCAGGUCCCUCCCAUGCAUUUCAUAGCCUCUUCGCUUCCUUGGCACAAGGGAAUCCAAAGACUGUCCCUUCCCUCGACAUCGCUGACCAGGGACUGCACUCCUCCAGGGUGUGAGAGGAGCUAGAACGGAGCCAGUGCUGUCAGACUCGCUCUUUGCAAACACCAGUUUGAUUAAAGGGCUAAAGGGUCUCAUGUGAUAGCUCUUCCAGACAGUGAGAGCCCAUGGCAUAGGAUAGCACCGUCUCCUGGGCUGAGCACCUGCAGGCCUCUCGAGGGCUGUGCUACCUUUGAUGCUCUAGUCUUGUGCUCAAAAUAUAGUCCCUGGACCAGCAGCAUCACAUCACCUGGGAACUGGUAAGAAAUGCAGGGUCUUGGGCCCCACCACAGACCUAGAGUCAGAAUCUGUUUUAACAAGACCUCCAGGUUGUCCGUGUACACAUUUAAGUGAAAUGCACUUCCCCUACUGGACAUCAACUUUUCAAAUGGCUCUCAGGCCAGAACUUGUCCACUUCUGCCCAAAGGUGGUUUUAGAAUGUAUACAUAGUUUUUCACAAAGGAUUGCAAGGUCUCAGAAGAAUUGUCUCUGAGUAAGUUUUGGAGCCACAGGUAUUCAUUCUGGACUAGGUUUUACAUUGCUGAGUUACUAUCAGAAGUGUCAUCAUAUGUUGUUGUCUUAGGCUGCCAAUAGAAGACAGACUCAUAAAGAUGUCCCUGUCUGUGUCUUAUCAAGCAGUUUAUAUCUCUGUGUGCCCUGCUCCAGAGUAUAUGCUGGUUGUGCUUCUCCCCAGAAGCUUUUGGCUCAGUUCUGAUUUUAGGGGCAUAGACGGAAGCUGUUUGACUCGGGCUGGAUGGAUGCUGUGAGCACUAGCCUUUGAUCAUGACUGGAUCCCUCCCCACAUCUGUAGAUAGAGCCUGUCGGGUGCCAUGUUGGUGGGUGAGGAGCACGCUCCUGUUUUUCAGUCCAGAGUGGAGAUGGAGUGAGAUGUGGAUGGACCACCUGUCAGAUGAGGAAACUGAGAUCCAAAGAGAAGAAAUAACUUGCCCAUGGGAUCGUACCUAGUCAGCCACAGAGCCUGGAUCAAACCUGAGAAGUCCGACCCCAGAGAGCUAGCCCUAACCCAGUUGUCGUCUGACUCCCUGCUGCCAUCCCAGAUGCUGCAUAAAAUACGGUUGGAGCCCUCACCUUCCCAGAGCCCACAGGAGAUGCCACAUGCCUUUCAUAUCACCCUUGCACUGAUUUCUCCCUAUAUCUAUAGCUAGUUGGAUGUGAUUCUGAGUGUAUGUUCCCACUUGGAAUGAAUGGCUCCAGCUGAGGAUUCUGUAGGAUCCCAAGUUCUGGAGGUUUGAGCCUGCAUCUGGGUGACUAUUGAGAUGCCAUGAUUCGGUCAUGCUCUGCCACCACUCAUCACAGGGAGGGGCCCUCACACCAUGGCAUCCCAUUCCCUCUUGUCCGGAUGGGGAAACAGGCUCAGAGAGGAAGGGAACUACUGGAGACCUCAUAGCACAGCCAGUCAGGCUAUACACAGAGGAUGGAUCAACAUUUCCUUUUAAUUCAGUGAGUGAAGUUAAAAGCGACAUCCUUAAUGAUUUGCAAUUGCCUCUGAGAAGCGGGUGAUCAGAGUCCUUGCUCAAGGAGCCAGGCUGAAGAAGAAUGUGAGAAGGGCACCCUCAAGAUCAUUUAGGGAAAUAAAGUCAUUUCAUCUUUGA